rnacentral:lncRNA from 10 species
AUGAAUGGAGGGCGGCGGCGACUGCUGCAGCUGGGCCAGCUGCGCGGGCUGCACCCCCUCCCAGCCUGCGAGAGGAGGAAGCUAGUAGAAGAUUUGUACCAACAAAACCAAGGAGUAAACAACUUGAGAAUAACUGCAUGAGCUCAGGGCUUGGACUGUCAGAUUCCAUUUCUAAGCUUCCAGAAGAGCGACACAUAGACACUGGGGAAGUCAGAGCCUUUGAACUCCAAUGCCAUCCCCGUCACCCACCUCCACCACCAGCACCACCACCGAAUGGCACUUUGGACAAUUUUUCCCUCUCAUGUGACUUUUGUCAUUUCUUACGUCAGUUGGAGCCAGCACCUCUCAAAUCCAUCUUCUAAAACCCAGAAAAUUGUGUGUAACACAUGAUGACUGAAAGGGAGUAGGCUGACCAGUUAAGAGCCUGCCACUGGAAUGGAAGGCUGUGGGAAGGUGAGGGGACGGUGGACAUCAACCGGGAAGAGCUGAAAGAUGGCGUUACCAGAACAACUUCCAGUAAAAGAAGGCACUGAGGUUUAAGUGCUACGUGGGAGCAGUUGCCGAUUUUUGCAAUGGGAGGCUGCAUAGAUUCAAGUGUGAGAAUUCGAAGAGAUUCAAAGACUAUAUCACCACCAUGGUCUUGCCAGAAUCUGCCCUCUGAGUCAUUUCUUAAUCUACUGAUUAUCUGUAGAACCAGCCUUAUAUAAACAAGGAAGCAUCUAGCAGGUGAGGUGGCCACAACUUCUGCUCCUGAUCCUCAUGCGUGGCAGGCUUUGCCUCCAUACUACUUGCAUUACCUUGUAGACCUCCACGAAAGCCUCGAGUCCUUGUGCUUUCAGGCCCAGAAGGCCUUCUGGGUGCUCAAAUGGUCCCUUCCAUGCUCAUUGUGCUAGGGCCACACUAUGUUCCUAACAGAACUGUCCCUACUUCAUGGGCACUCAGAUCUGGUCCCUGGGGCCAGAAGCCUCUUACCAUAACCUGUGUCCAUUUCAGUCAAUAUCUACCAUUAACUCCUUCCUGCCACCUCACCUCCUGAAGGCCUGUUUACCUGCAGACAAAUAAAAUCCCAAACUAUAUAUUUGCUCCCAACCCACACUGGCUGUACGAGCCUGCCCAGUUCCAAACAGAGCCAAACUCUGAGUCCCAGUUCAGGCUCAACUGGGACAUCCUAAUACACGUAGAAAAACCAUCCCCAUCCAAGAUCAUAUUACUAUUUCCCUAUAUACUUUUCUGAUAGCUUCAUAUAUUAUUUCAUGUCAUUGAUUUACAUUUAAACCCUAAUCCAUUUGGAAUUUGUCUUAGUGUAUUAUAAGAAGUAAGAAUCUAAGUUUUCCUCUAAAUGAGUUGUCAGAUAUAUUUAGACUGCUUGUUGACUAAACUGUCUUCCCCAACUGAUUUGAAAUCAUAUCCCUAUUUCAUUUACUGAAUGCUUAGACACACACACAGUGUACUCUCUCUCUCACACACACACACACACGCACACAUACACACACUUGUGUCCACCUCUGCAGCUCUCACUGUGACGUGGGCUCUGAACUUCUGAGCCUCCCGAUGGCUGCCCCCAAGCACCACGUGUCACGCCAUUACCCUUGCCACAAAAUGGAUUAUGCAUGUUACUCUUGUGAAGAUAAGUCUCUCUGAUUAGAGAAGACUGAUCAUAUACCUUCACUCCAUCUUCAAGGAAGGCCAGGAAUGUGGGGCAGCAGCUUCUCUGAGAAGUAGGACUUAAUGAGGUAAGUAAGCAAUGUCCCAGACUUGGAAACACCCAGAAGUUACUUACACUUAAAAGGACAGCUGUCCAGCAGAUACAUUUAUUACAUGGGCUUUAGGAAGUCAGCUGGACCUUAUCAUACAAGUGUGUGUCUUAAAGCUGAGAGACCUCUCUGAAUCCAGACCUUGAAUUAAUAGUCACUAACACUCACUCCAUGCCAGGCCUUGUGCUAAGCUCUUUACACACAUUUUCCAUUAGACCUCACAACAAUCUUAUGAAGUGUCUACUGUCAUCUCCAGUAUGUAUUAUUAUCCCCAUCUCACAACUGAGGAAACCAAGGCACAGAGAGGAAGUAUCAUGUUCUAUAUCAUUCAGGUAGUAAGCAAUAGGCAUGGACUUGAACCCAGUGGGCUGCGCAUCGUUCUGCCUUUGACAAAGCCGUUUAUUGUGUUGAAGACCAAAUCCUGGUGCUGGGACACCACUACACUUUCCUCAGUUCAGAACUCAGUUCUGAUGCCAAAACCAAAGAGAAUUUUACAGGAAAAUAAGGUCAACCAGAUUUGAAAGAAUCAUCAUGCAUAGUUCUCUUAAUGUUUUCUGAGAUGAACGGGUUUCAGUACAAGGAUGUUUUAUUAUCUUUGUUAAAAUGGAAGUGUUGUCCAGGCGCGAUGGCUCAUGCCUGUAAUCCCGGCACUUUGGGAGGCCGAGGUGGGCGGAUCACCUGAGGUCAGGAGUUGAAGACCAGCCUGGCCAACAUGGUGAAACCCCGUCUCUACUAAAAAUACAAAAAUUAGCCAGGUGUGGUGGAC